UACAGAGGGUGCGAGCGUUGUCCGGAAUCAUUGGGCGUAAAGAGCGUGUAGGCGGCCACUUAAGUCCUGCGUGAAAUCUUGCGGCUCAACCGCAAGCGGUCGUGGGAAACUGGGUGGCUAGAGUGCGGGAGAGGAGAGUGGAAUUCCUGGUGUAGCGGUGGAAUGCGCAGAUAUCAGGAAGAACACCCGUGGCGAAGGCGGCUCUCUGGAACGCAACUGACGCUGAGACGCGAAAGCGUGGGGAGCAAACAGG
rnacentral:rRNA from 1 species